AUUGAACGCUGGCGGCAGGCCUAACACAUGCAAGUCGAGCGGAUGAUGGGAGCUUGCUCCCGGAUUCAGCGGCGGACGGGUGAGUAAUGCCUAGGAAUCUGCCUGGUAGUGGGGGGCAACGUUUCGAAAGGAACGCUAAUACCGCAUACGUCCUACGGGAGAAAGCAGGGGACCUUCGGGCCUUGCGCUAUCAGAUGAGCCUAGGUCGGAUUAGCUAGUUGGUGGGGUAAAGGCCUACCAAGGCGACGAU
rnacentral:rRNA from 1 species